UGGGGAAUAUUGGACAAUGGGCGCAAGCCUGAUCCAGCAAUGCCGCGUGAGUGAUGAAGGCCUUAGGGUUGUAAAGCUCUUUCGCACGCGACGAUGAUGACGGUAGCGUGAGAAGAAGCCCCGGCUAACUUCGUGCCAGCAGCCGCGGUAAUACGAAGGGGGCUAGCGUUGUUCGGAAUUACUGGGCGUAAAGGGCGCGUAGGCGGCCUGUUUAGUCAGAAGUGAAAGCCCCGGGCUCAACCUGGGAAUAGCUUUUGAUACUGGCAGGCUUGAGUUCCGGAGAGGAUGGUGGAAUUCCCAGUGUAGAGGUGAAAUUCGUAGAUAUUGGGAAGAACACCGGUGGCGAAGGCGGCCAUCUGGACGGACACUGACGCUGAGGCGCGAAAGCGUGGGGAGCAAACAGGAUUAGAUACCCGUGGUAGUCCACGCCGUAAACGAUGAAUGCUAGACGUCGGGGUGCAUGCACUUCGGUGUCGCCGCUAACGCAUUAAGCAUUCCGCCUGGGGAGUACGGCCGCAAGGUUAAAACUUAAAGGAAUUGACGGGGUCAUAGCUGUUUCCU
rnacentral:rRNA from 1 species